rnacentral:misc_RNA from 1 species
AAGUCGUAACAAGGUUUCCGUAGGUGAACCUGCGGAAGGAUCAUUCACAACAAGUGUUUAUGGCACUUUCAAAUCCAUACCCACCUUGUGUGCAUUGUAAAGGCCCUUUCAGCUCGCUCUCUGUCUCUCUCUCUCUCUCUCUCCCUUGGGAGGAAGGAAGAAAGAGGGGGGGGGGGGAAGACUGGGCUUCAUUUUCUCACACGUCUUCAUUUGCAAGUCUAACAUUCAGAGUAAUCAAAACUCGAAUACAACUUUCAACAACGGAUCUCUUGGCUCUC